rnacentral:rRNA from 1 species
GAUUAACGCUAGCUACAGGCUUAACACAUGCAAGUCGAGGGGUAACGAGAGAAAAGCUUGCUUUCCUUGUCGACGACCGGCGCACGGGUGAGUAACGCGUAUCCAACCUGCCCCCAACUAGGGAAUAACCUUGCGAAAGUAAGACUAAUACCCUAUAAUUUCCUCAGAUGUCAUCUGACGAGGAAUAAAGAUUUAUCGGUUGUGGAUGGGGAUGCGUCUGAUUAGCUUGUUGGCGGGGUAACGGCCCACCAAGGCAACGAUCAGUAGGGGUUCUGAGAGGAAGGUCCCCCACAUUGGAACUGAGACACGGUCCAAACUCCUACGGGAGGCAGCAGUGAGGAAUAUUGGUCAAUGGGCGGAAGCCUGAACCAGCCAAGUAGCGUGCAGGAUGACGGCCCUAUGGGUUGUAAACUGCUUUUAUACAGGAAUAAAGUUAGCCACGUGUGGUUAUUUGUAGGUACUGUAUGAAUAAGGACCGGCUAAUUCCGUGCCAGCAGCCGCAGUAA